UAUGAAAGCUUGUCUUCUUUGUAUAGAGACAAAGGGGAUACGUUCUUCACCCAAUUGAUGUGGAUAGCAACCUGUCACUCUUUUGUCUAUAAAGAGGUGUUUGCUACUCCAGAAACUUUGAUUGGUUUCCAUACUGAUGCUGGGGCUUCCUUUCACCUCUCACAUCUACCUGGGUACUGGGGGGAAUACUUGGCUCUAACGGGAGAGAAACUCAAUGAACCAGAGAUGAUUGCCUGUG